GAACCAUUUAAAAUGAUUGUGUAACAGAUUAUAAAUCGGAAGGCUUUGAUUUUUCACUUGGUAAUUUUCAAGGGGAACAAAGAAAGAAAAGCUAUACAGAGAGAAACAAGAUAUUUUAUGAUGCUUAUUGCUGACAUAAAAAGGGCCAAAAGAGCCUAUUUAUACACAGCACUUUUGUCAAUAUACAGUACUAAAGAUUGUUUCUAUGGAGGACAAAGAACAUAAGGUGCUUGGUCAAGACUUGCUCCAAUCUUAUAGAAACUUGGAAUAGUGUUUGCUUUACAGGUAUACCUUCCUUCCAACUGAAGCAAAUGGCCAUGAAUCAAAAUGCAGUAACAAAAUUCAGUGUUGAGAACUCUGAAUUCCAAUACCAUCAAGCCAUGAAACAACCUCAUCAAUGAGGGGUCUCCGCCUAGGAUCUUGGUCUAAGCAUCUACAGGCAAUUUCAAGCAUUUCAAACAGCUGCUUCUCGAGAUCUUUGUCCCAAAUUGAUGAGUCCACAACAUCUGCCUCCCUUUUUUCAGACUUCAUCUGAAACACCCAAGAGACUAGAUCCCUGCAGUUUUUUCCUUUGCAAACUUCCACAGGCCUUCUACGAGUAACGAGCUCGAGAAGAACAACACCAAAACUGUAAACAUCACCCCUGCAGGUUGCUGUCAAUGUCUGACUAUAUUCAGGAGGAAUAUAGCCUAAAGUGCCAACCAAAUCCGUUGUAACAUGAGUAUCAUAGGGACGAAGUAGCCUUGAGAGGCCAAAAUCGGCCAAAUGAGCUUCAAAUUUUUCAUCUAAAAGUAUGUUGCUAGAUUUCACAUCCCGAUGAACUAUAUGUGGCUCACAAACUUUGUGCAGAUAAGCUAACCCAGAUGCUGCACCUUGCGCUAUCUUGAGUCUCACAUCCCAUUUAAGAAAUGAAGCUCCAUCAACACACUCAUGUAGCCAAUAAUCCAAACUUCCAUUCUCCAUGUAUGAAUAAAUCAAUAAUCUGUCAUUACCAUGACGGCAAUAACCUUGAAGAGAAACAAGAUUCUUGUGUUGAGCCCUUGAAAGUGCUUCCACUUCAGCUCGAAAUUCACGUUCCAUCUGACCACAGUCCCCAGAAAGCCUCUUGAUUGCUGCUUUGGUACCAUUGGGAAGGUUGGCCUUGUAAACCAGGCCAAAUCCACCACAACCAAUGAUAUUUGCUUGGUUAAAAUUAUUUGUAGACUUCAACAAGUCUGCAACUGUAAGAUCCUUACAAUCUGAAUUCUGAAAAAGCACCAACUUGGAAGACCCAAGGCCUUCAGAUAAUCUGUGUGGCCAGCUGAUUUCCUCAUCCAAAUCCUCAAUUGGAUCUCCCACAUCCCUCUUUGACAUCUUAAGCAAAACAAUCGCAAGGAUCAGUGCAAGCCCCACUCCCACAGUGAUUGUUAUCCCCAGGAUAUUUCCAAUGUUUCCUCUACCAAAUCUACCGUUUGAACCAGAUGGAAUACCAGGCUUCAACAUAUUGGUAACGACAUUACAAGGAGAAACUACUCCUCCACAUAGUCCUGGGUUGCCCUCAAAGCUCGAACUUGGAAAGCUAGAGAACUGCCCUCCAGCUGGAAUUUGCCCCUUCAAGUGAUUAUUAGCCACACUAAACUUGGAUAAGAAUGUGAGUUUCUCAAAUGAUGGGGGAAUUGACCCAUACAGAUCAUUAGAUGACAAAUCUAAAGUUUCCAAGUUCUCCAUUUCUGAUAUGGAGCUAGGUAUGGUCCCAGUUAUACUAUUCCUGCUCAAAUCUAAGACAUGGAGCUGUUUCAACCGUCCAAUUUCAGGCAAAAUUGCCCCAUUUAUUCUAUUGUUACUCAAAAGUAGCGAGGGGGGAAAACUUGUAGGUUGGUUGUACAGCAAACCGCUAGCACUCCGAUUUCUCUUUACAUACAGCGGAACACCAGCAGAAACAUUGGAUAUACUGCAAUGCAGGGAAAUGAGGCUCUUCAGCUCGGUCAAACUUUCUGGGAUCUUCCCAGUGAGAGAGUUAUUUGAGAAGUCCAAGUAAAAUAAAUUCUCCAUCAGACCAAUCCAAGGAGGUAUGCUGCCAUCCAAUUGAUUCCAUGACAAAUCCAGAACUUGUAACUUCCUGCAACUUAACAACCAAGCUGGAAUUUGGCCUUUGAGAGCACAAUUUCCCAGGGCUAACACCAUUAAAUUCUCAAAUCCACUCACAUUUCUGGGAAUUUCUUCACCAAUGAAAUUCUUUGUGAGGAUAAGAGUAGAGAGAUUUUUGCACUGCUGCAGUGCAGAUAAUGCUCCAGAUAGGUCAAAAAAACUAUUGUUUGAUAAAGUGAGAACCAGAAUGGAUGUGAGCUUUGCAAAACUAUUGGGGAUAUGGCCAGUUAACUCAUUCUUAGCCAGACUCAAAACUUUCAGUUUUUGGCAAUCAGACAGGGAAUUUGGAAGGGGGCCAAACAAAUGAUUACUGGCAAGAUCAAGAGUACCAAGGCUAGGCAUUCCAGUGAAAUUAAGAUCGAUUGGACCAGUUAGAGAAUUAUUUCUCAGGUCAAGUAUGCAGAGCUCUGUGCAUAAUGCCAGUGUUGAAGGUAAUGGCCCGGAAAACAUAUUUGAAUGUGCAACAAGUUGUUCUAGCUGGGUAAGGUUACCAAACACGUUUGGAAUAUAGCCUGAAAACCGGUUUCCAUAAAUAACCAAGGUUCUGAGGCUAGAAAGCUUACUCAAUUCUUUGCUUAACUGGCCAGAUAAGUUGUUGUUGGAGAUUGAGAAUUGCUGCAGAGCUGACAGUGAGUACAAAGAAUCCGGAAGAGAGCCUGAAAGUGAAUUGGAAUCCAAAUGCAAUUGCUGGAGAGAUGUGCUGCAAUUAUCCAAGCCUUCAAGAUUGCCAACAAGAUGGUUCAUUGACAAAUCAAGAAACCGAAUCCCACUAGAGGAGCUGCAAAUGUGGGGAGGGAUUCGGCCAGUAAAUGAAUUGUUGCUCACAUUGAAUACAAGAAGAUUUGGAAAUCCCCCAAGUUCAAACAAAUCCUCUUUGAACAGAUUGCUAGAAAUAUUCAGUGACUGCAUAGACAACAAACCAGAAAGCACCCCAGAAACCCGUCCUGACAACAUGUUAUGGCUCAAAUCAACAACCUCCAGCUGCUUCAAGCUUGAGAACUCCAUAGGCAAUCCACCUUGAAGAUGAUUGCAAGAGAGAUCAAGCGAUUUCAGUUUAUCCAAACGGCCCAAAGAUUGCGAUAUUAUCCCUUUGAGACCCUUCCUAGGCAGAAUUAGCUUAAUUACCCUAUUACCAGUCGAACCAUUGCCAUUAUUUCCGCAAACAACACCAUCCCAUUGGCAGCAAUUAGCCUCGUUGGACCAUGCUGUAACAAUGGACCCAUUUGUGAGGUUUCCGGAAAAUUCUCUCAGUGCCAAAUAAUCACUUGGAUCACAGGACUGGGAUGAGGUUUUGAGACCCAAAGAUGAACAAAGAAAACAAGCAAAGAAUACCCAUUUGAGGAAAGUCAUUGUAACAAUGUCCAAGACCAUCAUUACAGAAACAAAAACCUAGCCCCAGCUCAAACGAAGCCAAAACCCCUCAAUUGAAGCUGGUAUGUUUUGGGGCAGGCAGUACUUUUCAAGAACAAACCCAAAUGAAGAAACUUGCUCUUUGACAUCCCAAAAGGACCUCAAGAAGGAAACGCAAUUGCAAGCUGCAAAUUGCAAAUGAAGCAACAAAAAGAAGUAAAUUUAAUGGAGCACCAAUCCCCACCAGAAUUCAAAUCUCAAGAACACUAAGCAUGGGACUCAGAACCCCCAAUUGAUUUUGUAAGCGGUGCCCACUACACAAAAAGAAAGUUAAAAGAAAGAAACUUGUAGCACAAAACAACUCAGAUAUCAGAAAACAGAAGGACCAAAUAGCAACUUGAAAGUGAAGCAAUAAUGGUGAUCUUUUAAAUAAAAUAAAUUAGUGAAGCCAGGAAAGCACACUCAGAUCUUCAGUCCCCACCUGCAACCAAAAUCCUUGACUAAAAUCAACAAAUUACAAACCCCUAAACCCUAUACUGUUGUACAACUACAACCAUUAACUCCCCUGUAGAGAGAGACAGAGAGAGCAAGAAAGUCACCCUACCCAAGGGAAGAAACUUCAAACACACAUCCCAAAGCACCUAGAAAACCAACAAAAAGCCACCGGUUAGCAAUUUAAGCAACAAUUCUUACUUAAAAACUGCAGCGAGAUCCCAAGAUUAAAGUUUUCAUAUUUAUGGCAUAGAAAAACUCCACAAGACCUGAAGAGUUGAAGGAAGAAAGAAAGAAACUAUACCAGUAUUUAGACACAUGAAACUUCAAAAAAAGUUACGAUGAGCAUUAAAAACAUCACUUAUAAGGCAAGCAAAAGCCCCCUGUGAACCCAACACCCAUAGUGAGCACUUUCCCUCAAGUAGGCUAACACCAACCUCAAAACUAGACGACUCUCUUUCUCUCAAAAUAU
rnacentral:misc_RNA from 1 species